UCUCACUUUCUUUUUCCUCACGCUCUCUCUCUCAAAAUUUCCCCAACAACCUUCUUUCUCUCUUUUCUCUCUACAACAUCCUCUCUUAUCUCUCUACAGCAACCUUCUUUCUCUCUUUUUUCUCUUUCUGCUUCUAUCUUGCUUCCAUAUCCCUCUUCCUUUUGCUCUUCUUCUUCUUCUCCCUUCUUUCUCUUUUGUUAUCUGAAACAAUAAUGGUGUCUGAAUCGGUUUACGGUGUGCGAAUCGAUUGGAUUCAGAUUUUUUAGGGUUUCAAAUAGUGAUAAUCGGUUAUAAAGUUAGGGUUUUUAAUUUGUAGUUUGGGUUUUAGUGGUUUAUUUGAUGAUUUUGUGGUUUGUUUUUCAGGAUAUAGACUGGAUCGGGUUUUACCGCUGAGUUAUGAAGCUAACUAGGUUAUAGACUGAAUCGAGUUCUACCGCUGAGUUUGAAGCUAACAAGGUCUGAAUAAACACCAGUUCAAACGUAACAACUGUUAUCGCCUUUGUGAAGUUAGCGCUGACCAAUUUCUUGCAGAAAUUGAAGAGAAGCUGACCAAUUUUAAUGUUCUUCUAUUUGAUGCAG